UCGCUUUACUCUCACGAGCUUGUGGGCUCCACUUGCCCAUCCUCCAGGCAAAUGCCCAUCUGCCUUCCAUUAUAGCCAUAUAACGAGAGAUUGCACCAAUAACACUAAUAAUACAGAGGAACGUUU
ensembl:misc_RNA